rnacentral:rRNA from 1 species
GGGUUGUUGCUGGUCCUCAACGGGGANAGUGACUACUGACUCUGAUUCUGACGCAUCACNNNCACNNGCAUCGUGCACCCUCCGUAGUUCUGUGGUCUGGGGGACCCUGUCUUCCUGCCGUGGUUCUACGUCUUUACACACACACUGUAAUAAAGUCUUAUGGAAUGUAUGCCGCGUCUAACGCAAUACAAUACAACUUUCAGCAACGGAUCUCUUGGCUCUCGCAUCGAUGAAGAACGCAGCGAAAUGCGAUAAGUAAUGUGAAUUGCAGAAUUCAGUGAAUCAUCGAAUCUUUGAACGCACCUUGCGCCCCUUGGCUAUUCCGAGGGGCAUGCCUGUUUGAGUAUCAUGAACACCUCAACUCUCAUGGUUUGCCGUGAUGAGCUUGGACUCUGGGGGUUUUGCUGGCCUGCAGUCGGCUCCCCUCAAAUGAAUCAGCCUCCCAGUGUUUGGUGGCAUCACGGGUGUGAUAAAUAUCUACGCUCGCAGUUGUCCGCCAGGUAACCUUUGGUAACAAAGGUUCGCUGGAGCUCACAGAUGUCUCUCCUCAGCGAGGACAGCUUUUUGAACGUUCGAUCUCAAAUCAGGUAGGACUACCCGCUGAACUUAAGCAUAUCAAUAAGCGGAGGAAAAGAAACUAACAAGGAUUCCCCUAGUAACUGCGAGUGAAGCGGGAAGAGCUCAAAUUUAAAAUCUGGCGUGCCUCUGGUCGUCCGAGUUGUAGUCUAGAGAAGCGUUUUCCGUGCUGGACCGUGUACAAGUCUCCUGA